CGGAAGCUGAGGGGCCUCGGAGGUGGGGCCGGGAUGCAUCCUGGGCUUUGUAGUCCACCUGCACAACUACAGCCAGAGAGCGGGGCCUCACGACGUGGAGAACUACAAUCCCCAGCAGCCAGGCGGAAGUGGAGUGAGGGGGGCUCGCAUCACGUGGGCGUUCGGCCUGGGCGGGCUAUUUCUCAGUGCGGCGGCGGCGGCGGCGGCGGCGGCGGCGGCUCCCGGGACCGGGGCCUUUUGUUUGGAGCGGCUGCGGGGAGGCCCCGGAGCGGCGAGGCCGGCGGCCUUCCCCAGCUUGCUCGGUCCCGGUCGCCCCUCGCGGGGGUGGGGGGCCGCCCCCUGGGCCGGGCAUCUGCUCAGGCGCCGCCGCCCCGCCCUAGGCCGGCCCCGCCCGGCCUGAGGGGAGGAACCGGCCGGGCCUCGCCGCGAGGCCCAGCCACCUCCGGAGUCGCAGUCUCUGCUCUCAGUGCUCCGGAUCGGAGGCCGUCCCUCUCCCCUCGGGCAGACGCCAUGAAGAUCAAAGAUGCCAAGAAACCCUCUUUCCCAUGGUUUGGCAUGGACAUUGGGGGAACUCUAGUAAAACUCUCAUACUUUGAACCUAUUGAUAUCACAGCAGAGGAAGAACAAGAAGAAGUUGAGAGUUUAAAAAGUAUUCGGAAAUAUUUGACUUCUAAUGUAGCAUAUGGAUCCACCGGCAUUCGGGAUGUACACCUUGAACUGAAGGAUUUAACACUUUUUGGCCGAAGAGGGAACUUGCACUUUAUCAGGUUUCCAACCCAGGACCUGCCUACUUUUAUCCAAAUGGGAAGAGAUAAAAACUUCUCAACAUUGCAGACGGUGCUAUGUGCUACAGGAGGUGGUGCUUACAAGUUUGAAAAAGAUUUUCGCACAAUUGGAAACCUCCACCUGCACAAACUGGAUGAACUUGACUGCCUUGUAAAGGGCUUGCUGUAUAUAGACUCUGUCAGUUUCAAUGGACAAGCCGAGUGCUAUUAUUUUGCUAAUGCCUCAGAACCUGAGCGAUGCCAAAAGAUGCCUUUUAACCUGGAUGAUCCCUAUCCACUGCUUGUAGUGAACAUUGGCUCAGGAGUCAGUAUUUUAGCAGUCCAUUCCAAAGACAACUAUAAACGAGUGACUGGGACAAGCCUUGGAGGGGGUACCUUUCUGGGUUUAUGCAGUUUAUUGACUGGCUGUGAAAGUUUUGAAGAGGCUCUUGAAAUGGCAUCCAAAGGUGAUAGCACACAAGCUGACAAGCUGGUCCGUGAUAUUUAUGGAGGAGAUUACGAAAGAUUUGGUUUGCCAGGUUGGGCUGUAGCAUCUAGUUUUGGGAAUAUGAUUUAUAAGGAGAAGCGAGAAUCUGUUAGUAAAGAAGAUCUGGCAAGAGCUACUUUAGUUACUAUCACCAAUAACAUUGGUUCUGUGGCACGAAUGUGUGCUGUUAAUGAGAAAAUAAACAGAGUUGUCUUUGUUGGAAACUUUUUACGUGUCAAUACCCUCUCAAUGAAACUUCUGGCGUAUGCACUGGAUUAUUGGUCAAAAGGUCAACUAAAAGCAUUGUUUCUAGAACAUGAGGGAUACUUUGGAGCAGUUGGUGCACUUCUUGGGCUGCCAAAUUUCAGCUAAAGCAUCAGGUCUCUCUCUCUGCUAAUAAAUGUCGUCCAAGAGGAACUAAAACCAGAGGCAUUAUUACUGCAUUGUUUGUCACUGGGAACCAAAGGAUAGAAGAGUAGCAUAAGCUGCUGAAUGUUGCCAUAUUAAAGGAGAGAACUUGGUACUAGGUAUUGGAUUCUCACCAAACCAGUAGAAUGGCGUUCUCUCUUAAUAUGUCAUUGCCUGUAAUGGCCAGUAAUAUGAAAGGUUUUAUAUGUAAAUUAAAAUGUUUGUACUUUUAAAUCUGUAAAGGUGAUCUGGAAUUUUUACUAUGUUAACUUCAGCAUUAUAUGGGCAUUAUGACUUUUUCAUUGUACAAAAAAAAAAAUUAUUCAUAAAUGUUGGAAUACAGAUGUUCCUUGACUUAUGAUAGGGUUAUGUUCCAGUAGACCCAUUGUAAAUUGAAAAUACUGUUAGUUGAAAAUACAUUUAAUACGCCUAACCUACUGAAUAUCCCAGCUUAGCCUAGCCUACCUUAAAUGUGUUCAGAACACUUAAUGUUGGCCUGUAGCUGGGCAAAAUCAUCUAAUACAAAACCUAUUUUAUAAUGAAAGAUUUAAUAUCUCAAAUAAGAGUAUGAUACCACAUAUCGUUAGCCCAGGAUAAUAUCAAAAGAUGAAAUUUGAAGUACAGUUUUUACUGAAUAUGUAUUGCUUUUGCCCCAUUAUAAAGUUGAAAAACCAUAAGUCAAACCAUUGUUAAGUCGGACUGUUUGUGUUACAUAUAUUUGGGAUUUUUUAGUGACCCUUUUUAAAAAGCUGUUUCUUAUUUCUGAUCAUUGUGAGUGGGGAUAGAUAUGGGAAGAACCACGUCUCUACUAAAAAUAAAAAAAAUACCCCAGCUUGUUGGCACACACCUGUAGUCCCAGCUACUCGGGAGGCUGAGGCAGGAGAAUCACUUGAAUCGGGAGGCAGAGGGCAGAUCAUGCCGCUGUACUCCAGCCUGGGCAACAGAGUAAGACUCUGUCUCAAACAUGAAUGAAUGAAUGAAUGAAUGAAUGAAUGAAUGAAUGAAUGAAUGAACGAACAAACGAACUAUUAGCUGAUACUGGGAUUUCAGGUACCACAGUUCCUGCUGAAAGAUACGUUUGGGGUAAAUCAAUUUUUUUCCUUGUAGAAUUUCAGUGUGUUUGCUGCAACUGCCACUCAUUUUGCGUUUAAAAGAACAAAAGAGGAAUGUAUUUUUCAAAGGAGUGAAUGAGGUUAAAAUCAAGAUUUUGAAUGGUAUAAAUAUGCAACUAAUUCAAUUGUAGGAUAUUAUUAAAUUUUGUAUCUCUAAACAUCUUUCUUUCAUACAUCGCAGUGCUUACAGUUCCAAUAGCUUUCCAAGAAAACAUUUCCAUGUUUGCAUAAUUUGUAAAGUAUAUAUAAAUAAUGUAAAAUAAUUUGGGAUUAUCUCAACUUUAUAUUGUAUGUCUGAAUUUCAUCGAUGUCAUACCUGGCUCAGUCAAUAGUCGUCACAGGUAUUAAGCCAUUUUGGAAUUUGCCACCUUUUUCUGUGGAACCUGUUUUAGUUUAGUUUACAGCAUUUAGAAAUAGAAGGUAACUUUAUAGAAGUAACACCAAUAUCCUAGUCUGCUUGUCCCGAAUACAAUUAAUAGUAUUAGGAUGUAAGUGAUAUUAAGAUGGUUUUUAUUAUUUUUUUGUACACUGUACUUUUACUUUUUAUUUAAACUACAGCUAAAAGCUGACUUUUUAACUAAAAUUGAAUGGCAUUUAUCUUAAUGCCCAGUUAUUGACCAAAUCAUACUCAGAAGAUGUUAUUAUGUCCCAGUCUAAGGAAUCCUUUAAUUUGGGGAUUAAUUUGACUUCCACAUGCCAUUUCAGUGUAAAUUGCCUUAUUCUGUCUAUUACAUUAUUCUUGUCAAGUCUAAGCUUUAUCAUGUCUGAAUUCUUUUAACACUGAAUCUGUGAUGUAAAAAUGUAUGAUGUGCUACAAAUUUUAUUCAUAAUAAACUAAGUUAUAGCCUGUUGUAAUCUGUAAAACAUUUCUUGUAAAUUGCCUAAUUUAUUUUUUCAUUCAUGUACAGUUUCUUAUGUAAAUUUGAAAAAUGUUUGCCAUGGCACAUUCUGUAAACAUUCCCGUAUUCUUUUCCUUAAUGCUUAUUUGCAUGAAGGUAACUUGGGUUUUGCUUGUUUGUGUUGGAUAACCAUUAAGCCAACUUCAGUAUCUCUGCCUUUUUUCUUGUAGUUUAACCGUUUCUAAUUUUGUUCAUAUUCUAAAUAGAUGUUAGAAUCAUACUUUUUAUUUUCUACUUAAUAAAUUAUCUAAGUUGUUUAC